GUUUUUACUCGUCAAAACUCCCAUUUCAUCUGCAUUUACUACUCUCCUUUCGCAUUGAAAUGGAACCGAAUAUUAAUUUCUCUUAGAGAAAAGCUAUUUAUCGAUUACAUACGAUAAUUUUACCUCCGGCUCGUGGUGGAUCGGUCUAAUCUGGUUCGAUCGAUUAGGUUUGAUUAGCCCAUUUAUGCAAAUCCCAUUUCCCAUCUCAAUACGAUGCGGCAUCUGCACGGAAAGCGGAGGUGUCUAGGCUUGCGAGCGACAAGGGGAGAGAGGAAGGGUGGCGGUGGGAAGGAGCUUGGAAGGGGGAGAAAGUGAGAUCCAGGUUCCCUACCGGUGGAUGCAGGACCCCUCACCCUCUACCGGAAGUACCAGGUGCACCUCCUCCGUAGUUAACCCUAGUCUCCUCUCCCCCUUCCUAUCUUUCUUUCCCUUUCGGUCAUUGUGCUUCUGGGAAUUGAAUGACUCGUGAAAUGAGUUGAUGUUGUUGAUUUGGUUCAUGCUACGGGUGGCCCAAUUGCAUCUGAAGACCUCGUCUUUUGAGGUAUUGAAACAUUUCCCUUUUGGAUAGUUGUUCUUCUGGCAAAUUUGCAUCUUUGUUCAAUUCGUCCAACAUAUUGGUUGCCUCUACUAAACUAAACACAAUUAUGCUUGUUAUCUUCUAUGCAUGAUCAAAUGUUUUUGUCAGUGUGUCUCGACUUAUAGAUCUAGCACAAUUGAAAUGAAUGACGGUUUUAUAUAUGAAAAAAAUGAUUUUUAUCGAGUUUAACCCUUUUCUAUAAUUUUUUCGUUGAUUAAAUUCAUAUACCAAGGCCAGCAUAGGGCACAAAGUUCCCGCAGGGUUCUGGGGAGACUUGAGGUCACGCUGAUCACCGAGGAGCAAUCUUAUCAUGACACCAAACCCCACCCACUCAGGCCAAUUUCCACCAGCCAUAUCAACACCUAAUUAGUUUUACAUAGAGGCUGUUUGGAUGAGUGCUUUCCCCUGCAUUCCAUCAAGUGGUACAGGACUUUCGGAUGCAGGAAAUUCUUGGAUGGUUGCGUUUUCCAGAAGAACGUUCCUCUUAAAAUGCAGUUGGGUCACAAAUUUUAAUCAUGCAGCAACAUGUUUGCAUGAGAAAGCAUCUUCUUUUUUCCUUCACACAUCCUUUCAUUUCGCUAUGCAGAAAUUGAUAUCAGCCUGCCAUUGCAAAAUUGCAGGGAUCCAAACGAGUGACCCUGCAGUUGCAAAGACUUGCGUCGGUAACACAGCAAAUUCAUAAAUCUGACUGUUUGUUUUAGAACUCUUGCAUCUGCAACAUUUCUGUGGACAAAGACCUUUAUCCCUAUGCUGUGGUCACUGAUGUCUUGGAAGCUCCAGCAAAAAUGAAUCUGGACUGCUGUGUGAGACAUCAAGAUGGAGAAGAUUCACGGUUAGGACUCCUUUAUUAGGGUGCUAAGGUGCACAUAUUGUCUUACAAUUCCGAAAUAAUGAGAAAGGAGUGAGUUGGCUUUCUAUUAAGAUCUAUAAUAUAAUACCUUGAUGAUUUUGAAUGUUCUCAUGAUUAACAAGUCACAAUUUAUUGUCUUUGUGUGUG